rnacentral:rRNA from 1 species
GAGCUAAUACCGGAUAGUUCCUUGAACCGCAUGGUUCAAGGAUGAAAGACGGUUUCGGCUGUCACUUACAGAUGGACCCGCGGCGCAUUAGCUAGUUGGUGAGGUAACGGCUCACCAAGGCGACGAUGCGUAGCCGACCUGAGAGGGUGAUCGGCCACACUGGGACUGAGACACGGCCCAGACUCCUACGGGAGGCAGCAGUAGGGAAUCUUCCGCAAUGGACGAAAGUCUGACGGAGCAACGCCGCGUGAGUGAUGAAGGUUUUCGGAUCGUAAAGCUCUGUUGUUAGGGAAGAACAAGUGCAAGAGUAACUGCUUGCACCUUGACGGUACCUAACCAGAAAGCCACGGCUAACUACGUGCCAGCAGCCGCGGUAAUACGUAGGUGGCAAGCGUUGUCCGGAAUUAUUGGGCGUAAAGGGCUCGCAGGCGGUUUCUUAAGUCUGAUGUGAAAGCCCCCGGCUCAACCGGGGAGGGUCAUUGGAAACUGGGAAACUUGAGUGCAGAAGAGGAGAGUGGAAUUCCACGUGUAGCGGUGAAAUGCGUAGAGAUGUGGAGGAACA